GAUGAACGCUGGCUACAGGCUUAACACAUGCAAGUCGAGGGGAAACGACGGGGAAGCUUGCUUCCCCGGGCGUCGACCGGCGCACGGGUGAGUAACGCGUAUCCAACCUGCCUCUGACUGAGGGAUAACCCGUCGAAAGUCGGCCUAAUACCUCAUGGCAUCGUCUGCGGGCAUCCAACGACGAUUAAAGAUUUCAUCGGUCAGGGAUGGGGAUGCGUCUGAUUAGCUUGUUGGCGGGGUAACGGCCCACCAAGGCGACGAUCAGUAGGGGUUCUGAGAGGAAGGUCCCCCACAUUGGAACUGAGACACGGUCCAAACUCCUACGGGAGGCAGCAGUGAGGAAUAUUGGUCAAUGGGCGAGAGCCUGAACCAGCCAAGUAGCGUGCAGGAAGACGGCCCUAUGGGUUGUAAACUGCUUUUAUGCGGGGAUAAAGUGAAGGACGUGUCCAUCAUUGCAGGUACCGCAUGAAUAAGGACCGGCUAAUUCCGUGCCAGCAGCCGCGGUAAUACGGAAGGUCCGGGCGUUAUCCGGAUUUAUUGGGUUUAAAGGGAGCGUAGGCCGUGGAUUAAGCGUGUUGUGAAAUGCAGGUGCUCAACGUCUGCACUGCAGCGCGAACUGGUCCACUUGAGUGUGCGCAACGCAGGCGGAAUUCGUCGUGUAGCGGUGAAAUGCUUAGAUAUGACGAAGAACUCCGAUUGCGAAGGCAGCUUGCGGGAGCACAACUGACGCUGAAGCUCGAAAGUGCGGGUAUCGAACAGG
rnacentral:rRNA from 1 species